rnacentral:lncRNA from 1 species
CGUCAUUGCGCCUGCGCAUUCCCUUGGAAUCGCCGGAUUUUCCCCCGGGCAGAGGGCCUGCUGGGUCCGGAAACUGCACUUCCCAGCAUGCCUUGCCGUAGCUGCGCCUGCGCACGGGAAGGACCCAGGCAGCGCGUUGGUUUGAAGCGCAGUCUUAGGUCCGCGGUAGCCUGACUGCAGAGCGAUGGACUGCGGGAGGUCAGUUGGAAACUCCAAACUAUUUAGAAGACUCUGCCAACCAGAAAGGCAUUCGUCCUAUCCCGAGUGAAGUCAUCCAUCCAGGAAAAACAGAUGUUUUAUGGCAGAACUGUGAGUUUCUGGUGAAUCGAAUGUGCCAUCUAGAAAGCCUCAUCCAGUCCUUGAAGAUGAACAUCUUCCGUCUGCAAGUGGAGAAGGAUUUGAAUCCACAGAAAACAGCUUUUCUGAAGGAUCGACUGAAUAUAAUACAGGAAGAGCAUUCCAGAGACCUGAAGCUGCUGCAUCUUGAAGUGAUGAACUUGUGUCAGCAACUGAGAGAUGUGAAAGAGGAGGAGGACAAGGCGCGGGAUGCAGUGCAAAGAUCGGCCGCCACUCUGGAAAUCGCCUCAGAGACAGCUCAGGAGAAGCACUUCAGGGAAUCUCUUGAGAAAUUGGGAUCAGCUAUGCUCCUUAAAAUACAAGAAAUGGGAUCCACAGUGGAGGGGGAACAGAAACAGGUGCACAUUUUGCAGCAAAACUGCCUGGCCUUGCGCAGUUCCAUACAGAGCACCCAAGAACUACUGGCACAGGAGCAGCAAAGAAAGGGAGAGUUGGAGACUGCUACCUCACAGCUCAAGACUGACCUGAGUGAGAACAUAGCUGCUGGAAGUCACUUUUGCUAGUGCUUUGAGAGUUCAUGUAACAGCUCUUUGGGGCCCAGGUUCUUGUAGUAGCCAGGGUUCUUGUAUUUCUCACAGUCCUGAAGGUAAAACAUUGCUGAUUUCUGUUCUAACUGUAGCACUGCAACAAACAUGAAUGUCGGUAUCCAAAAAAAUGGCCUCUUGGUUGUAAACUAUUUUAGUCCCUCUUCCCAUGCUUAUUGAGGUGUGGAUUUGGGAACAUUUGAUUUCUAGACAUCUGGCUUAAAUAUGAGAUAAACAAAAGUCAGGGAGUAAACUUUUAACUCUGGCUAACUUACUGAUUUUGUCAUUCAUCGUGUCAGACUCCAGUCUUCAGAGCAUCCACAUAUCUUGACUAACUUGUGGAGAUGGGUAUGUAAGGGACCUUGGUGAGAGCCUAGACUCCUCUGUUAACCAACAGAGUCCUCAGAGGUGACAUGGCCAGGAAAGGGGCGGGGUCCCGGGAUCACAUCCGGGUGCUCGGAGUCCAUCUUACUACUGCUUUGUUACAUCAUUUUAUUAUAUUUCAAGGCGGUUGCAGUGCAGAGCUUGCAGGCUUAUGUAACUAGCGCUGCAUUAUUUGCACACAGGUUUCACAUAAAUUAGUGCUCAAAGCUCCAUAGCCGUGCAGAGUUACAAGAGGAAGAAAUGGCAAAGUGAAGCCUAAACCUGGCUCUUCUAACUCCAAGCUUAGUGUUGCUUUCGUUUCACCGUUUCUACUCUGGUUAUGCUAAGGCAGGGGAUACCAAAAAGGAAAUGAAAAGUGCUGUGUACAAAAUAUGGAAGAAAGAGUAAACUGUUCAGUGUUGAUUUAGAUUGCUUUUGCAAAAAAUAGUGGACUCAUUUUCCUUAUAGUUGUUGGGUAGUGAUUUACUAUUGAAAUUCUCACUGCUAGUGUCCCGGGAUAACUUUGUCAUCUUCUGAUGAUAAGCCUACAAAAUGGUGUUACAUUUUAUGAUGCUUCCACACAUGAUCUUGUUUGAAUCUUGUCAGAAAGAUAGGGAAAUAAACCCACUAGAUAGAAGAAUACAAAGAUCUAGAUGGGCUGUGCCCAUGACCCUGUCUUAAUUACUUUUCUUGUUGCUGAGACAAAAUAUCUGACACCCACAGUUAAAGGAGGAAGGCUUUAUUGUAGCUCACAGUUGUAGAGGUUUCCCUUCAUAGUUGGCUGGCUCCGAGGCAGUGCUGCAUGGCAGAGGGCAUCACAGAGGAGAAACGGUCCAUGGCAUGGAAGACAGGAGGCAGCAAAGCAGCAGCAGUGAAGUGGUAGCAAAUAGCAAGCGACAACAGCCCCUCUUCUGUCCCUUUAUUAUAUUGAGGCCACACACCCUCAGGGCUGCUAGCACUCACACCCUGCAUGGGCCUUUACUGUGUGUGGUAGAAGAUCCCUACACAAAACGUUUAAGUGUGACCUUGUGUGCAAGUGACUGUGAGCUAGUGUCUUUGAUAAUUCCAUAACUUAAUUUCCAGUUUAUAAAAAUAUGAUAAAAACACGUAGGACAAGGAUACUUAGGUUCAUCUUGUUUUCCCCAAAAGAUAUUGUCUAUAAAAAUUAAAGCUUUAAAUGAGAAUCAAGACUUGCCAUGUAAAGGUACAUGAUCCCAACAAUGAAUGUAACUGUACUGAAAAAAAAAAAAAAAAAAAAAAAAAAAAAAAUUAAAGCUUUUGGGGGAGAAUACCAUGUUAUUUCAGUGUAGUAAGUAGUUGUCAUAGUUAUGUGGACCUUUUGUUUUUAGUUUCUAGGGAUGACCUCAUUUCGAAGCUGCUUGAAGAAAACAAGGUAGGUUUUCAGGUUCUAGAGUACAGAAGUGAUCUUUCGUCUCUUUAUUAGUAGUAGUAUCAUUUUCUUAUUUGUGUUGGUUUGCAAUGCUUGGGAUUCUCCCAACAGCUUUAGAAAAAAAAGUUUUCUAUAAAUAACUUCUAUACUCGGGCUGAUAGUAGGUAUUAAAAAGUAAUCAUUUCAGGGCUGGGGAUUUAGUGCAGUGGUUCUGCUGCCUACCUUGCAAGCACAAGGACCUGAGUUCGAUCCCUGGUACCAAAAAAAAAAAAAAAAAAUGUUGUAAUUUCAUGCAGGUUAUUAUAGUUUGAAAAUGUGAGGAAAAAUCAGAUAUUUGUGUUUUCUUGAUUAUAAAUUAUUAAAAGAAAUUUUAGUGAAACGUAAGACACAGCUACAUAUCAGUAGUGGCUGCACCAUAGUGUCUGUGUAUUUAAUGCCACUAAAUUGUACCCUUAAAAAAUAGUUAGGAUGUUAAGUUGUGUAGUUUAUCUUACCACAGUUUAAGAAAUGAAUGGGGUUUGGGGCACACCCUAUAAACCCACCACCCUAGGAGGCCAAGGCAGGAGUUUGAGCCUACCCUGGGCAACUUUGCAAGUUAGUGAGAUCCUGUCUCAAAAUUUAAAAAAUUGAAAGAGGGAGAGGGAAGCAGCUAGUGUGAAGGCUCUGGGUUUAAUCACCACUACUGCCAAAAUUAAAAAAAAAAUAUGUCUAUAGAACUACUUUAUACCUUAAUGCAUUUUGCAGUGGAAUAAUUUUUGUGGUUGCUGUCUCAUCCUGUCUUGGUGAUGUGUAUCUUUCUUGAGCAGCACCUGGUGGGAGAAUAGAAAAGUGGUUUUCUCUGUAAGAAGAGAAUUUACACCCUACCCUUGCCCAUCUCCCUAGAUUGCCCUUAAGGAAAGCCCGGCCCACAUCCCAUCACUGUCACCACCUCAGGGAACUAGUUUUGUUUUGUUUUUUGCAGACCAUAGGUGCUUUCUUCAGCUGCACCCCAGGUACCCUGUCUUCAUUACAACUUUAAAAGAUCUGUGAAUGUGUUCAUUUGAGACCACAAGCUCUACUGCUGAUAGGAAGAAAUGUGUAUGUAAUAUAAAUAUUUACCUCAGAGAGUAGAGCUUUCAUGAUAGGAAGAUACUAGUAAUAUUUAGGUUAUGUCAGGCAUAUUCUUUCUCAUCAGGACCCUAAUGUCAGAAUAGAUUAAUGAGUUUUUAAACAGACUGUAUUUUUAGAGCAGUUUUAGAUUCAGAGCAAAAUGUACACAGCCAAAGGCACGUGGAUUUCCUGCACUACCCCUGCUGCUCCAUGUGCAGUAAGCACCUGUCCGGUGGGUGCUGUGUGACAGUCGAGUCCACACAGACCACACGGAUGCAUCGUCAUCCAAGUCUGCGGUUGACAUCAGGCCUCCCUCUUGGCGCUUCCAUUCCAUGGGCUUGGACACAUCCACAGCAACACACAGCUCUACGACAGUGUCAUACUGAGUACUUUCACCACCCCAACCCCAUGUUCGCCUGUCUGUCCUCACCCCGCUGCCCUGGCACCACUGGUGCUUCCGCUGUCUCCUUAGCUUCAUCUCUCCCAGAAUGGCAUGUGCUUAGAAUCAU